rnacentral:rRNA from 1 species
GAUGAACGCUGGCGGCGUGCCUAAUACAUGCAAGUCGAGCGAACGGACGAGAAGCUUGCGUCUCUGAUGUUAGCGGCGGACGGGUGAGUAACACGUGUAUAACCUACCUAUAAGACGGGGAUAACUUCGGGAAACGGGCGCUAACACCGGAUAAUAUUUUGAACCGCAGGGGUCAAUGGUGAAAGACGGCCUUGCUGGCACUUAUAGCUGGAUCCGCGCUGCGUUAGCUAGUUGGGAAGGUAACGGCUUACCAAGGCAACCAUGCAUAGCCGACCUGAGGGGGUGAUCGGCCACCCUGGAACUGAGGCACGGUCCAGACUCCUACGGUAGGCCCCAGUAGGGAAUCUUCCGCAAUGGUCGAAAGCCUUACGGAGCAGCGCCGCGUGAGUGAUGAAGGUCUUCGGAUCGUAAUGCUCUGUUAUUGGGGAAGAACAGAUGUGUAAGUAACUGUGCACAUCUUGACGGUACCUAGUCAGAAAGCCCCGGCUAACUACGUG